GAUGAACGCUGGCGGCGUGCCUAAUACAUGCAAGUAGAACGCUGAAGAGAGGAGCUUGCUCUUCUUGGUUGAGUUGCGAACGGGUGAGUAACGCGUAGGUAACCUGCCUGGUAGCGGGGGAUAACUAUUGGAAACGAUAGCUAAUACCGCAUAAAAUGUAUUAUCGCAUGAUAAUCCAUUGAAAGGUGCAAAUGCAUUACUAUCAGAUGGACUUGCGUUGUAUUAGCUAGUUGGUGGGGUAACGGCUCAACAAGGCGACGAUACCUAGCCGACCUGAGAGGGUGGUCGGCCACACUGGGACUUAGACACGGCCCAGACUCCUUCGGGAGGCAGCAGUAGGGAAGCUUCGGCAAAUGACGGAAGUCUGACCGAGCAACGCCGCGUGAGUGAAGGAGGUUUUCGGAUCGUAAAGCUCUGUUGUAAGAGAAGAACGAAUGUGAGAGUGGAAAAUUCACGCUGCGACGGUAUCUUACCAGAAAGGGACGGCUAACUACGUG
rnacentral:rRNA from 1 species